rnacentral:lncRNA from 1 species
AUUCCUUCAACUGGAAAAGGAUUGUCAAAGCCCAGGUUUUCUGGGCCGUGUCUCCAGCUUCAUUGUGAUUUGGAGAAAUCAUCAUCUCUGUCGUAGGACACGGAGGGGGGACAAGCGUCCUUUCCUCUAGCUGGGCCUCCUUCCACGAUCUGUCAGCUGAGUGUAGCUCUCCUCUCUGGGUAGAGGAGCAGCCGGAUUGUGGAGGGUGGGAGCCAAGUCUGUGGGAAGGUCUGUCUUUCCUGAGGCUUGUGAGUCUGAGCUUGGAAAGAAUCACAAGCAUGAAAGAGGCUCUGCCGAAUGGAGACCACUGAAAUUCAAGUUCAGCAGCCCCUGCAAAGUCAAGAGGAGGGAAAUACAUGCCUCCAGCCAUACCUGAAAGGCUGAGGCUCCACGGACCUGCCAAGCAACUAGCCCCUGUGUGUUAUAGACCAGGUAUCCGUUCUCAAUGCUCCGUCAGCCCAGAGGAAACUCGUGAGCUCCCCUGGGAACCUGGAUGCUAUGACCCUGAACUGGAACCAAGUCCAGCUGGACUUUGAAGCCACACCUUGUCACGAUGUUGACUGUAAACCAUUGGCUGGGCUCUUGCCAGGCCUCACCCCCGGGCACACUCACAAGGUUGCCUCUGCCAUCAUCCCAAGUUCUGUCAGAAGUGG